AAGAAAAAAAGAACAGGAGAAAUCAAGGGAAAAUGGAGGAGGACAGAGCCAAAGAAAAGGGGAAAGGGGGCGACAGAUGGCCGGCAGCGAUCGCCAAUCUCACCGAGAUGUCGUCAAAUCUCGAUUCUUUACAGAAGCUACUGAUAAAGAAAGCUGUUUAUGUUGACGACGAUACAUUCGCCAAGGCCUCCCUCAGCUCCGAACAAGCUCGGGCAAUCAAGGUUCUUGAGCAAAGGGUGGAGACUUUAGAAAAAGAACUGGAUAAUGCGAUUUCAGCUGCUGCCCGUGCACGUACCGAAAAACGCCAUGCUGAAGCAGCACAGAAAGCAGCAGAACUACGUGCUCUAGAAAUUACAAAAGAACUAGAGAACACUUCAAAAGUAUUUCAACUGCACAUGGAAGAGUUACGUGCAAAGCAAGAUGAGAUCUUUAAGAAAGAUGAAGAGAUAAAACUUCUGGAAGCUAUAAUUCAGACACUUGGUGGAAGAGAAUCACUUUCUGCUAAAGCCUAAAUCCUGAAUUGGGAGACAUAGUUCAUAACUUGGAUCCUUGGCUGUUGUCGGCUGUUGAGAUCUUGUAACACAGGCAAAUGCGCAGGUCCUCUCGAUGCGCGCGGUGAUGUUGCUUGGGCUAAUAUAGACAAGAAGGGGGCUAAUAUAGACAAGAAGGUGUUGACUGCAAUACAAUUAAUAUUGUCGAAAGAAGUUCUACGUAAAGUUGCUCAUGAGACUACCUACAAGAGUUGUGGUUGAAGCUGUAGAUGCAGUAAAUGACAAAGUCUCUUGCAAACAAACUUGUUUGAAUGAAUACUUUUAUACAAUUUGAAUGCCUGAAGGUACUCCCAUUCAAUCCCACCUACAUGAAUUUAAUUCAAUCAUUAUGAAUUUAGAAAUUUUGGAUGUUACAAUUGAUGAUGAAGAUAAAAUCGUGUUGUUGAUUGUCUGUUAUCUCAUUUACAAA